rnacentral:sRNA from 1 species
AACUGUGCUAUCCUUGCUGUGAGACAAUACCUUCCCCCAGAGCAAGAAUCUGGAUCUGAGAAGAGUUGAUGUGCCCCAUAUACCAGUCAAUACAUGGCCUUCCAUUGUACUUCCUUCCUUGCCUUCUCUCAUGAAGGACUUCUUCCUUCCAUAGGUACAAGCUGUUGAGCAACUUAUGGAGUCUUAAGCAUAGACUGGUUCUGUCUAUUCCAUCUCUUUUGUUCCCUGCCAAGCAUUCAAAAGCAGGAAAGAACCAUUACUGUAUAACAUCUACAGCCCCAUUGCCUCCCUGUUGACUCUAACUGUUGUACUACAGAAGGGGGUACCAAGGCCUUCCCUGGGGCUCAACUGUGGGAAAAAAAAGAUGCUCAUGGGCUACUGCAUUUCUAGCUCUGGGGAGAAAACAUGGUCCUCUAUUUCUAAGAGUUCACAGUCUGAUGACAGAAACAUAAACUGCUAGAACUUGGCUUGAUUAGACAUCAGCAGGUCUCUGCAGAAUGCUUUGAGAACACACGUGAGCAGGAAACCGAUUUUCUCAGAGAGUCAGAGAAAGUUACAAAGAGCAGGUCAUGCCUGCCCUGAGCUGUGAGUCAAAAAUAGCUAGGCAUGGGAGAUGAAGGAGACAUGGUGGGCCAGAAAGGAGCAUUUGCCCAGACAUAGACAUGAAAAAGAAUGGGCAAGUCCCUGACAGGAGACAGGGAAUGAUCCUAGAAAGCCACAAGAGCCCAUGCCUACCCCCUGACUCGUCUGGAACCCUGGGAAGAUGAAGACGCUGAAGAAUAUCAUCAACGGGAAAGAGUGCCAGGGAUCAUGCUGCCAGUCUGAGAGGCUGGAAGACCACGGCUGUGGUAGCAUUAGCCAUCGCUUGUGCAAUACAGCAUCGGAGUAUCCACAAAUUAUCACCGCCAGUUUUCAUUACACAGUCAAGGGAAGCAGAUGCUAGGGAAGUUCACUCAGUAGGCAACAGCAGGAUUAGAACUUACCCUGGGUUCUAUACUCCAAAGGCCAUAGAGGAGAUUAUGACCCAUGAGGACCUCAGUACAGCACCCCAACCUAAAGGAUGAGGAAUCUCCUGAUUCUGGAGCAGACCUACCUCCCCUUCCUUAAUCAUCAGAAGCUCCUCUACAGUAUCCCUGUACUAUCACUCGUUCCUUCCCAUCCUCUGCUUCUUAGAGUAUGUCCGCUCCUUCUUUCAUGGUGUUCCUUAAGCCUUAUAGGGGGUUGAUGUAGCUGUCCCACAUCGGGCUGAGCACUCAGGAAUCACUUUUUCUCAGCCCUUUGGUUUUUUGAGUCUCUGAAUUAACUUCAGCCCACUGCAGAAGCUGAGAGCACCACAGAUCUAUGGUUAUGAAUGCCCAGCAACCAUUAGGCAAAACGUAAAGACCCAAGGCAGAAGGCUGGAAGGGAAGCAGAUGCUUGCACGAUGGGCUGAGCCAUUCUGAACUGCUGUUCCCACCUGUAUGACUCCUGCAUACUGACUGUUAAACAUCCCCAGCCUCAAAAGUUCAGAAGUACGGGUGCAUGUUUCAUAACCUGGAAGGACAUCCAUGGCAAAUCACCAAGGGAUAGAAAGGUUUCUAAGUAAUAUGAAAGACAAGAAUCUGGGGGCAGCAAAGCUGGGUUCUCUGAUGCAGGGUUCUCUCUGGAGACAACUGUGCAAACAUUGACAGGAAUUACAAGUCACCUGAGACCCGAUGGGAAGACAACCCACUCCAUGGUGGCUGACUCAGCGGUUCCCGGGAACUUUGCUCCUCGACAUGUGGACCUGACCAUUGGUUACUUCCUCACAACACAGAAGCUGGCUUCUUCCAGAGCAGGCAAUGUAAGGAUAGAAAGGAAGGUGAACGCAGUGUCCUCUGUGACCUAAUUUCUGAAAUUACAGACUGUCGCUGUCACUUUACUGUUGGAAGUCACUGAGGCCUGUCUACUCAGGUGUGGGGCACUGAACACCACUUCUUGGAAAGCAGAGUCUGAAAGCACUUGUGAGCUGUCACAGGAGCCAUGACAGAGACCUGAGGUCCCCAACACCUUUGGUCUUCCUAAAGGGACCACGUGAGUACAUGGUUCAGUCAGGUUAACUCACCCUGGGUAAAUAUUGAUCAUUAAAAGACAAGAAAAGAGAAAAAGAGAGGGAGAGAUGGGGGAGAGAUUGAAGUAUGAUGUUUUCUCAGGGCCUAUCUGGAAGAAGUGCCACGUGGCUGGACAGCUCAGCCUCUGUGGAUGUGCUGAUACCUCGGCAAGGCACAGA